rnacentral:rRNA from 1 species
CAGAGUGAACGCUGGCGGCAGGCCUAACACAUGCAAGUCGAACGGCAGCACAGUAAGAGCUUGCUCUUAUGGGUGGCGAGUGGCGGACGGGUGAGGAAUACAUCGGAAUCUACUCUUUCGUGGGGGAUAACGUAGGGAAACUUACGCUAAUACCGCAUACGACCUACGGGUGAAAGCGGAGGACCUUCGGGCUUCGCGCGGUUGAAUGAGCCGAUGUCGGAUUAGCUAGUUGGCGGGGUAAAGGCCCACCAAGGCGACGAUCCGUAGCUGGUCUGAGAGGAUGAUCAGCCACACUGGAACUGAGACACGGUCCAGACUCCUACGGGAGGCAGCAGUGGGGAAUAUUGGACAAUGGGCGCAAGCCUGAUCCAGCCAUGCCGCGUGGGUGAAGAAGGCCUUCGGGUUGUAAAGCCCUUUUGUUGGGAAAGAAAAGCAGUCGGUUAAUACCCGAUUGUUCUGACGGUACCCAAAGAAUAAGCACCGGCUAACUUCGUGCCAGCAGCCGCGGUAAUACGAAGGGUGCAAGCGUUACUCGGAAUUACUGGGCGUAAAGCGUGCGUAGGUGGUGGUUUAAGUCUGUUGUGAAAGCCCUGGGCUCAACCUGGGAAUUGCAGUGGAUACUGGGUCACUAGAGUGUGGUAGAGGGUAGCGGAAUUCCCGGUGUAGCAGUGAAAUGCGUAGAGAUCGGGAGGAACAUCCGUGGCGAAGGCGGCUACCUGGACCAACACUGACACUGAGGCACGAAAGCGUGGGGAGCAAACAGGAUUAGAUACCC